rnacentral:lncRNA from 1 species
CCGAGGGAUCGGGUUUAGGGUAGACUAAGAAAGUUUGCAUGACAAUUAGAUAAUAAAGUGAAUUUAAUAAGAAGAGUAGAUAUAAGAGAGUGGAUAAGAUGAAAUUGUAAACCCCAACAACUCCAUUUAUCCAUAUCUUUUCCUUGCGAAUUGAAUCAAUUGCAUGUGCAUGUUUAUUUUCGUUCUUGCAUUCAACCACUAG